GACAGCAGUAGCCGCGGGAAUACAGAGGGUGCGAGCGUUAAUCGGAUUUACUGGGCGUAAAGCGUGCGUAGGCGGCUUCUUAAGUCGGAUGUGAAAUCCCUGAGCUUAACUUAGGAAUUGCAUUCGAUACUGGGAAGCUAGAGUAUGGGAGAGGAUGGUAGAAUUCCAGGUGUAGCGGUGAAAUGCGUAGAGAUCUGGAGGAAUACCGAUGGCGAAGGCAGCCAUCUGGCCUAAUACUGACGCUGAGGUACGAAAGCAUGGGGAGCAAACAGGAUUAGAUACCCAGUAGUCCCUGUCUCUUAUACA
rnacentral:rRNA from 1 species